rnacentral:rRNA from 1 species
AUUGAACGCUGGCGGCAGGCCUAACACAUGCAAGUCGAGCGGAUGAAGGGAGCUUGCUCCUGGAUUCAGCGGCGGACGGGUGAGUAAUGCCUAGGAAUCUGCCUGGUAGUGGGGGAUAACGUCCGGAAACGGGCGCUAAUACCGCAUACGUCCUGAGGGAGAAAGUGGGGGAUCUUCGGACCUCACGCUAUCAGAUGAGCCUAGGUCGGAUUAGCUAGUUGGUGGGGUAAGGGCCUACCAAGGCGACGAUCCGUAACUGGUCUGAGAGGAUGAUCAGUCACACUGGAACUGAGACACGGUCCAGACUCCUACGGGAGGCAGCAGUGGGGAAUAUUGGACAAUGGGCGAAAGCCUGAUCCAGCCAUGCUGCGUGUGUGAAGAAGGUCUUCGGAUUGUAAAGCACUUUAAGUUGGGAGGAAGGGCAGUAAGUUAAUACCUUGCUGUUUUGACGUUACCAACAGAAUAAGCACCGGCUAACUUCGUG